rnacentral:lncRNA from 1 species
GACUUCAAUAAUUGGAAAGACUGGGAAGAUGAUUCAGAUGAAGACAUGUCUAAUUUUGAUCGUUUCUCUGAGGUAAAUGAUGAACAACAUGGGUGGUGAUGAGGAUGUAGAUUUACCAGAAGUAGAUGGAGCAGAUGAUGAUUCACAAGACAGUGAUGAUGAAAGUAAAAAUGCCAGAUCUGGAGUAAGGAAUAUUGUCAUCACCUGGAUUUUGAGAAAGAAAAAUAACUUCUCUGCAAGAUUUCAUAAUUGAGAGAAUUCCUGAGUUGAUAGCUCUAAAGGCAGAUAUGCUGUAUUUGCCUACUUUAACCCAUUUUUCAACCUGUUUGUUUUUUAAAAGGCUUCACUAAGGGUUGAUAUGUACCAUUGUAUGGGGCAAUUUUAAGUCAGCUAAGGCAAUAACCUUAUGCAUGAACAUUUCCCAGACUUUCAUGAAGCUGUUGAGGUCCUAGGCAAUUAAUGCAGCAGUUGCGAUAAAUAAAAACAUCUCACCUAAGUCUCCUUUUCUUCAUAACAUAGAUACUGACAUGAUAGGAAGCUCUCAGCUUAGGGAAAGAGAAUAAAUUUUAGAUUAUAGAACAUGGAUUCAAAAGUGACUGGAACAAAUUGGCUGACACCUUACUGGUAACCUGCUAUUCUUCUGGUGUUAUCCUUCAGGAUUGUUCCACUAAAAUUUAUUUUUCAAAAAAUUUACUUCACAUUAUUCUAUGUAAGUGAUGACUUGUCAGUGUUCCAGGUGUAUCUUAGCUAAAACUAGAGAAUGCCCUAACUUAGAUGGUUUUUGAAGCCUAUACAAUUGGUAUUGUUUGACCCUUAAGCUUUUACAUCUCUUAGCAUGGAGGACGAAGAAAGCUGUACAUUGUUGCUUGAGAGUCUGUACAUUUAGUCCAGAUUUGUAUUUGCACUGUCAGUAUGGCAAAUGAGUGAAAAAUGUUUAAUACACUAUUGGAUUUUUUAUUUCCUUUUUUUGAUUCAGCUUAUACCCGGGCUGAAAACCUCAAUUUAUGUUCAUGACAGUGGGGAUUUUUUUAAAUGUCUACAUUCUUUCUAAUAAACUGUUGGAAGACUUCUUGGCUGUCCUUUUAAGUGUCUGGCUUACUGUAAUUUUUAUGUAUUUACCAUUUACUGGAAUGGAGUUUAUUUGAGGAAGAAUUUGGGAUUAUUCCUCUGUUUGAAAAAAGAGGCUUGCUGUAAUGUCACAGGAAACCUUUUAAAAGUGGAUCUGUAAUAGCAUAUUGUAGAUGCACUUUGCAGCAGUUGGAAAAGAAAGUGUUGUGUGAUUUGAUUGAAAUAAAACUAAAUGUGUUGUCCUCCUA